rnacentral:rRNA from 1 species
UACAGAGGAUGCAAGCGUUAUCCGGAAUGAUUGGGCGUAAAGCGUCUGUAGGUGGCUUUUUAAGUCCGCCGUCAAAUCCCAGGGCUCAACUCUGGACAGGCGGUGGAAACUACCAAGCUGGAGUACGGUAGGGGCAGAGGGAAUUUCCGGUGGAGCGGUGAAAUGCGUAGAGAUGUGGAGGAACACCGAUGGCGAAGGCAGCCCCCUGGGUUAACACUGACGCUCAGGCACGAAAGCGUGGGGAGCAAACAGG